AUGACAAAAAGCAACCUUGCAGGAAUGGAGGAAUCUGUCCAGAGCUGUGCCCCUGCUUGCCACAGGAGCUGCGCGGGAGGAGAAGAACGUGGGCCAAAAGGAAUGGAGGAAUCUGUCCAGAGCUGUGCCCCUGCUUGCCACAGGAGCUGCGCGGGAGGAGAAGAACGUGGGCCAAAAGGAAUGGAGGAAUCUGUCCAGAGCUGUGCCCCUGCUUGCCACAGGAGCUGCGCGGGAGGAGAAGAACGUGGGCCAAAAGGUAAGAGGAGCUCCUUUGGGUUCUGGGCUUGAAGCAAAGCUGAGAAGCCAUGCCCGGGAGGAGGUGUGGGUAGCUACAGGCCACCUUGCUAUCUCCCCAAGAGAUGAGGUGUGUGGGCUAGGCACCGGGCAGGAGUGCUGGCCAGAAGCAAGCAUCUCUGUGGAGGAAGGCAAAGGGCGGAGGAGGUUCAAGGGUAGCUACCGGGCAUGGC
rnacentral:lncRNA from 7 species